GUGGGAUUAGUUUAGUGGUAAAAUACCAGUUUGCCAUACUGGUGUCGAGGGUUCAAUUCCCUUAUCCCACACCA
rnacentral:tRNA from 1 species